rnacentral:rRNA from 1 species
CCUACGGGUGGCUGCAGUGAGGAAUAUUGGUCAAUGGACGGAAGUCUGAACCAGCCAUGCCGCGUGCAGGAAGACGGCUCUAUGAGUUGUAAACUGCUUUUGUACAAGGGUAAACCUGAAUACGUGUAUUCAGCUGAAAGUACUUUAUGAAUAAGGAUCGGCUAACUCCGUGCCAGCAGCCGCGGUAAUACGGAGGAUGCGAGCGUUAUCCGGAUUUAUUGGGUUUAAAGGGUGCGCAGGCGGAGGUGCAAGUCAGCGGUAAAAUUGCGGGGCUCAACCCCGUACUGCCGUUGAAACUGCAUGCCUUGAGUGCGCGAGAGGUAUGCGGAAUGCGUGGUGUAGCGGUGAAAUGCAUAGAUAUCACGCAGAACUCCGAUUGCGAAGGCAGCAUACCGGCGCGCAACUGACGCUGAUGCACGAAAGCGUGGGUAUCGAACAGGAUUAGAUACCCUGGCAGUC